AUUCAAUACUUUAAUAUAUAUAGAAGAGGUCAUUUAUAAUCAAAGAGCACAUGUUAAUUUGAAUCUUAUUUUGACUGUUUUGAAUGUAAGGACAUUUGAAAUUCAGAUGUGUACAAGAAAGAAAAUGCUUGAACUUGAAAUAAUGGUAGCAUUUAUUAGAAAAUAUAAAGCAGUGUAUAAAAUGUACAUGUAUACACAAGGUGAUAGGAUGACCUCUGUGACAAACUCAGAGGGGUGAUAGAUCUCAGUGAUCAUUUUUUGUCAAGCAACCAAUAUCUUUUGACGUGUCGUUUAGAAUUUAUGCAUCUUCGUGUGUUUGUCUAUUUAAUGCUUACAAUGUUGAAUGAAGUGAUGACACCUUUUCUUUGUUCCUACUCUAUAUCUGUGUAUUCUAUGAUUGAGCUUACAUGAGCAAUUUAAUGUAAUUGUGAAUUAAGAAUGGACAUUUUGAUUUGCCUGAGCUCUGUGACAUGAUAAUGUGUUAGCUAGAGAAAAUGGAAGAGAAACUCUCUGUAUCUACUAGCAGUGAUUUCCUCAUAGAAAUCAUCAGCACCACACAAUGUUUGCUUGACUUCAGUGCCUUAGAGAAAUGGAAUGUCUUUGUCCUUGGCAUGUUGAUGGAGGAUAGUGUACUGUGAGGAUACUUGUGUUUGAAGAAGGUAUGCUUGAGAGAAUUGCCAACAAGCCUUUAACUAGCAUACAUGCCUAUGCUAUGGGCACAAGUCAGUGUUCUGAGUGUAGCAGGAUCAUCAUCAUCAUCUUGCAUACCACCACCAGAAAAUGCAAGGAUUUGACCAGAAUAUGCAAGGAUUAUACCUGGGUGGCAUUUUUUGGCAUCCUCUUUUCCUCCAAAAAACACACAUGUUUUAACUUUCAACACAC
rnacentral:lncRNA from 1 species